AGCUGCGACAAUCCGGCGCGUCGAGAGACGUGUGCUCGGGAAGCGGGUGAGAACCCCGCACUGCCCCCGCAACGGUAAUUGCGUUAGAAAACAUAGCGUUUUCUUCGACACCACCGGAUGCGCCGUCAGGCCAUCCAGCCACUGUGAUCGCAUGGACUGCCCUUCGAGGGAACUUCAAGGGAACGUCCAUCGACAUGGGAAGGCGUGCGUGUCGGAUGACCCAGGGUCUAUCGCCCGGGUCAUCGCGCGAGAGUCCGGAGACCGGCGCGUUUCUCUUCACUGGU
rnacentral:ncRNA from 2 species